GACUUGUCCAUCUAGUUUUACAUGUUGGAGCCAGAGCCUGACCCAGAGGAGGAAGAAGACAAUGAAAUUACUGUAUAGUUACUAAGUCCAGACUUUAUUUGGCAAUUCUGUCACAAAAACUGUGAAGUAAUAGUUCAGAAAAAAAAUUGGUUGGAUAUUGAAAUCCAUUACUUUUUAACCUCAACAGUAUCAAAAAAUGUACUGCAGUAGUGGCAUGACUAGCAUUGACAAAGCCACGUUGCUUUGUUUAGAUUUACUCAAAAACAAUUAGCAGUUUUCCUCUCCCUCUGCUUCUCCUAUGCUGUCAGACUCAGCACGGGGGGGAGGGGCUGCUAAAAACACAGGAUUCCAGCGAUGGUGGAGUGACAACAGCAAGCUAAAAAGAUCCAAAGUCUGCAUGCACAGAUAAAAUGUGGCGUCAACAGUCAGCAACGUGUUUUCAGAAGUAGCCUAUGUCGAUUCAGAGGUUGUUGUGCAAUCAGAUCCGAUUAAACAAUUCUCUGACACGCUUCGAUCGAGUAUCGAUACAGUUCGCUACCAACAGACGUUACUAUCGCAUGGUUCUGUGGAUUCUCAGUCAUCAGGACAUGGAAAGUUAAAAGAAAAGCAAAGAAGCAACUGAACUUCUUAAGACGUGUGGAGCUGCCAGAUUUAAAGAGCAUGACUCGAGAAGAGCAUCGAUAAGAGGACCGUUAAAAUACUGGAUCCAUUAGAGCAUCAAUAAAUCUUAAUGAUGCCCAUCCCUGAUAGAAAAAAGGGAAAACUUAAUAAAGCUGAAAAAAUAUGACCCAAA